UUUUAAGACGAAGAUGCAAUUAUUCGUCUCUUUAUCAAGGCAGACAAUUAUAUUGUAACGGUACGGUAAAUACUAGGGUACAUUACGAGCAACACUAAACUAGUCCACUCGAGGCUGAAUUGAGGGUGUGUGAGAGGAUCGUCUGUUCACGCGCCAGGAAGUGCAGGCAACCAGUUUCCGUAUGAUACAACGGUUGUCGUAUUUUACUUGAAAUUGCACGACCGCUGAUGCUGUGAUAGGCUAAAAUCGGACUCCUGUCACAAAGUUAGCAACACCAGCCUCAACGCUCAAGCCUUUUGAUUCCGCUAGUAACGUGCGGCUGAGCAGUAAAACGAUCUUGAUAGCCAAACUGUGGCAGUGUGACUUUCUUGUGAUUUCUACGACUAGGAUGCUCGGGUUCUUUUCAAAAUUCCCGAAGACAUCAUCACGCUUAGCGCCAUUUUCGUGCUUCAUUGAAACACGAGAACCGAACUCAGCCACAGGUUCGUGAGAUAAUUGUUGGUGCUAUUAUCCUGGUCUUCGGGUCAUCAUUUUUUGAAGUAUCGCAACUGUAUCGCGUGAAUACAGACGUACGGUCAUACUCUGUAUUCUGUUAACAAAAAUAGAUAUGUUUCAACUGACUUACUCGUGAUGAGCACGUUGGCGACUACUGAGACACGAGAGCAUGUAAGUGUGUAGCAGAUUGUUUCUGGAAGAGUGAACAGGAGCACUGAGCGCCUAGGACGAGAUCAUAACCACCAUAGACGAAGCAGUUACAAUUAACGAGAAACUGGAGUGGGAGAGGAAAGAACCGUCGGAGGAAAGUCCAUUUCAGCCUCAUGAAUAGCGCCAUCCCCCAAUUGGUUUAAUGCAGGGUGGCUGUGAGUGCUUGGUUCUCCUCCAACCCUGAUUGCUUUCUACUAGUUUUCUAGGAGAAAUAGAUAUAUGAUUUGAUCGUGGUUGGACGACAGAAACGAUCAUCGUCAAUUGACUGUGCCGCAUAGACGCGUUGUAGAUGUUACGAUCCAUUCAGUGACUUGCGACGCAUUUAGGGUUGAUAGGGCAGAUGCGAGUCAUCUCGUGUAUCAGAUAGCCGCCCACGCAGCAACAAGAAGAACGAAGGUUAUCGUCUGUGAUAACACAUUCUAUGGAGUACGUAGUAUAAUUGCAAGGGGCACUCGCCCCAGAAUGCCUAUUCUAGAUUCCUCCAUUUGUCGCUCGUUUCACCUGUUUACUCGCGCCUACCUGCUUGUUUCGAGAGAGACGAGCCUACCAUUUGCGAAAAUAGAGCAAUUCUGAGACUGGACUGUCCGUGCUUGUCUUUCGAUUGACAGAAAUAGAAAUGGCGAUCGAACUGAAAUAGAAUGGUUAUCGCAAUGGGCAGGUGCGUAUCGAUAAGUUGAUGAUUGUACGACAGAGUGUGUGUUCUAUAUUUGGCACGGCACGACGUCGAGCGGCCCGAGAUCAUCUUCUUUUCCUCACUUCACUUCCGUAUCUCUUCGCUCUUCCCUCCAUCUCUGUACCACCUCAAUCUACGAUUCCAUCUUCAUUCACGUACAUUUAUUGUGAUUUCGACCAGUAGCCGGAGACUGUGGCUACAUGGGCGGUGGCUGUUACGGUCUAGUCUGAUCAAUUGCUGACACUUGACGACGAAUCUAUCAAGAGGCUAGUAAAUCAGUUCUUCGGCUAACUUGGUUUUCAGCUGUCGUCUGCCCGUCCCUGUCCUUUCACAGUGACUGUCAAUGACUAACCCCACUAGGUAGUUAGUUAGUCGAUUAUGAUUCCUGACACUCUUAGUGUGUCUAGGAGAUUUUCGUCGAGUCUGCCUUGUGAAAAUCUUGAUUGAUCAGUCCGUACCCACCUCUGAUGAUCGGAUUGUCUCGUUGGUCCUCUGGCAUGCCAAGAUCAUUCUAUUGCAUACGACACUGUACAAUUGUAUGAGGAUUGGUUAUCGUCCGGUUGUCAAACCAAUCUACCGAGAGCAGCCUUUUCAAGAUUCCAUUACGAAUCCGUGUGGCUCAACGAAGUUUAUGGAAUCGAUUAUGCAAACUUGCUGCCUUGGAACAUCUGCUACGAUAGGAUAGGACGUAUUGUACGAAACCUGUCAGGACAGGAUGUUGUUUUGUAUUGAUACGAUUGAUUCCAUGAGAAUCGUCCUUCUUCGCAAGUGUUCUGUCUGAGGACAGAUUGUCGUUAUUGAGUUGGGUCUUAUGCUCGUCCAUCGUUCAUGGUAUGCCUCGUAGUCAAACUGUCGGACAUUCCUUUCCAUUUCCUCGUGCUUGCAUUUCUUCACACGGCCUAUACGAUGCCUAUCAAAAUUUUCAACCCCAAUCUAUUAUCUUCUCAUCUGGUCAACUAUUUUAUUGCCUAGUACCAUGAAUACCCAAGAGUCCUGGACGUAUCUAGGUAUCAAUUGACCA
rnacentral:lncRNA from 1 species